CCUGAACAUACAAUACUCGGAAUGGCAGCAGCCUUUGGUUUGGAACCAAUGUGAGAUUGUUUCAGAUUGGAUACCUCAAGUGGCUGGAAGAAGCUGGUUGAGAUUGUGAAAGACAUCUUCGGUUGAUGAUGUCUGCUGGGUAAUUCUAGAGCUAAUACGUGCGCAAAACCCCGACUUCCGGAGGGGAUGCAUUUAUUAGAUAAAAGGUCGACGCGGGCUUUCCCGUUUCGUUCUAUAUUCAUGAUAACUCCAACGGAUCGCACGGCCCCGAUCGCACGGCCGUUGUGCCGGCGACGCAUCAUUCAAAUUUCCGCCCAUCAACUUUCGAUGGUUAGGAUAGUGGGCUUACUAUGGUGUUAACGGGUUAACCGAAGAAUUUAGGGUUUGCAUUCCCGGAGAGGGAGCCUGAGAAACGGCUACCACAUCCAAGGAAGGCAGCAGGCGCGCAAUUAACCAAAUCCUGACACGGGGAGGUAGUGACAAUAAAUAACAAUUACCGUGCUCAAAUGAGUCUGGUAUUUGAAUGAGUACAAUUCUAAAUCCCUUUACGAGGAUCCAUUGGAGGGCAAGUCUGGUGCCAGCAGCCGCGGUAAUUCCAGCUCCAAUAGCGUAUAUUUAAGUUGUUCAGUUAAAAAGCUCGUAGUUGGACCUUGGGUUGGGUCGGCCGGUCCGCCGUCAGGUGUGCACCGGUUUACUCCUUCCCUCCUGUUGGCGAUGCGCUCCUAGCCUUUUGGCCGGGUCGUUCCCUUCCGGCGUUGUUACUUUGAAGAAAUUAGAGUGCUCAAAGGCAAGCCUACGCUCUGUUGUAUAUUUGCAUGGAGAUAAAUCAGGGAUUUCCGUUCCUAAUCGUUGUGGCCUUCCGGGAUCGGAGUAUUGAUUAACAGGGACAGUCGGGGGCAUUCGUAUUUCAUAGUCAGAGGUGAAUUUCUUGGAUUUAGAAAGACGAACAAAUGAAAGCAAUUUGCCAAGGAUGUUUUUUCUUUAAUCAAGAACGAAAGUUGGGGGCUCGAAGACGAUCAGAUACCGUCUUAUUCUCAACCAUAAACGAUGCCGACAGGGAUAUCAGCGGAGUUGCUUUUGGACUCCGCUGGCACCUUAUGAGAAAUCAAAGUUUUUGGGUUCCGGGGGGAGUAUGGUCGCAAGGCUGAAACUUAAAGGAAUUGACGGAAGGGCACCACCAGGAGUGGAGCCUGCGGCUUAAUUUGACCCAACACGGGGAAACUUACCAGGUCCAGAACAUAGUAGGGAUUGACAGACUAGAAGCUCUUUUCUUGAUUCUAUGGGUGGUGGGUGCAUGGCCGUUCUUAGUUGGUGGAGCGAUUUGUCUGGUUAAUUUCCGUUAACGAACGAGACCUCAGCUGGCUAACUAAGCUAUAUGUGGAGGGGUAUCCUUCCACGGCCAGCUUCUUAGAGGGACUAUGGCCUUUUGGCCACGGAAGUUUGAGGCAAUAACAGGUCUGUGAUGCCCGCCACGGAAGCUUGAGGCAAUAACAGGUCUGUAUGCCCUUAGAUGUUCUGGCCGCACGCGCGCUACCACUGAUGUAUUUCAAGAGUAUAUACCUUGGCCGACAGGCCCGGGAAAUCUUUGAAAUUUCAUCGUGAUAGAUCCGGGAAAUCUUUGAAAUUUCAAUCGUGUUUGGGAUAGAUCAUUGCAUUGUUGGUCUUAAACGAGGAAUUCCUAGUAAGCGCGAGUCAUCAGCUCGCGUUGACUACGUCCCUGCCCUUUGUACACACCGCCCGUCGCUCCUACCGAUUGAAUGGUCCGGUGAAGUGUUAGGAUCGUGGCGACGUGGGCGGUUCGCUGCCCGCGACGUCGCGAGAAUUCCACUGAACCUUAUCAUUUAGAGGAAGGAGAAGUCGUAACAAGGUUUCCGUAGGUGAACCUGCGGAAG
rnacentral:rRNA from 1 species